rnacentral:rRNA from 1 species
CACGUAGGGGGCAAGCGUUGUCCGGAUUUAUUGGGCGUAAAGAGCUCGUAGGUGGUUCGGUAAGUCAGGUGUGAAACCUCCAGGCUCAACCUGGAGACGCCACUUGAUACUGCUGUGACUGGAGUCCGGUAGGGGAGCGUGGAAUUCCUGGUGUAGCGGUGAAAUGCGCAGAUAUCAGGAGGAACACCAGCGGCGAAGGCGGUGCUCUGGGCCGGUACUGACACUGAGGAGCGAAAGCGUGGGUAGCAAACAGG